rnacentral:tRNA from 1 species
GGUGGGGUUCCCGAGUGGCCAAAGGGAGCAGACUGUAAAUCUGCCGUCAUCGACUUCGAGGCCAAAGGGAGCAGACUGUAAAUCUGCCGUCAUCGACUUCGAAGGUUCGAAUCCUUCCCCCACCACCA